GACGAACGCUGGCGGCGUGCUUAACACAUGCCAGUCGAACGGAAAGGCCCUGCUUUUGUGGGGUGCUCGAGUGGCGAACGGGUGAGUAACACGUGAGUAACCUGCCCUUGACUUUGGGAUAACUUCAGGAAACUGGGGCUAAUACCGGAUAGGAGCUCCUGCUGCAUGGUGGGGGUUGGAAAGUUUCGGCGGUUGGGGAUGGACUCGCGGCUUAUCAGCUUGUUGGUGGGGUAGUGGCUUACCAAGGCUUUGACGGGUAGCCGGCCUGAGAGGGUGACCGGCCACAUUGGGACUGAGAUACGGCCCAGACUCCUACGGGAGGCAGCAGUGGGGAAUAUUGCACAAUGGGCGGAAGCCUGAUGCAGCAACGCCGCGUGCGGGAUGACAGCCUUCGGGUUGUAAACCGCUUUCGCCUGUGACGAAGCGUGAGUGACGGUAAUGGGUAAAGAAGCACCGGCUAACUACGUG
rnacentral:rRNA from 1 species